AACGUCAUAGUCGCCUUCCAUCCUUUUAAUUGUGACGUCACUUCAACUUUUUUAAUGUCUUAACAAAAUCCGCCUCAAAGUGGUUUUUUUCAAUCGAUGAUGUAUUACUACUCCCCUAGAUGUCUCCAAAGUGGAGGCUUGGUGACUAGUUUGACUUACAACAUAACAGCAGUGUAUAUUUGCCUCAGGUCCCAUGUGGUAGGAACCUGAAAUUCCACACACACGAAAAAUAAAUUAUAGUCCAAAAAUAAAAACGAAGAAAAGCGAAAACUUGAAGGAAACAUUGGCUGCACUUUUUGAAUGCGUGAAAGAUAUCAUAUUGGAGGGAGAUAUCCAACCCUGGCCCAGGUGGUCGCUAUCUGCGCUCGCCUGGAGCAGAGCAAGGGAUAGUUUUAUUGAAAUAGACUAUCCAGAAGAAGUCGCAAAACUAGCGGCCGAAACAAGACAGAAUAGCUACCAGGAAAAUUACAGAAAAUUUCUGUACCCUGACGUAUAUGCCAAAGACCACUUUAAAACGCUGGUAACAAAUAAACUACAAGAAUGUGAGUACAUAUUUAUAUGUUAAUUAUCCAGACUGAAUGGGAGUGCUGUAAAAAUGAUCAGGGGCAACAAACACAUUCAACUUAUCCUUUCUUGUAAAGAGUACUGACCAACUUUUUGAAGAUAGAUGUCACUCAUUCACUGCUUAGGAGCAAAAUGGAAAGGAAUUAUUUUCAUAAUAUUCCCAACAUUUCCAUUGGACAAGUGCAGAACAGAAUGACUGAGGAGGUUUCUGAUAGGUCAUAGGUUUGAGAGUAUGAAUCUUUGGGACAUAAAUUAAUGUAUAUUUAUAUCAUUCCUUUUUUCUAUAUAGAUAACCGAAGACAGAAAAGCCAGUUGAAGCUUGAAGGUCAAAAAAAUGAUGAAAGCCCAAUCACAAAGAAGAAGCAGAAAAUAAAAAAAAACAGUCUAUGGUCCUGGUGUUGCUUUUGCUGAGUUCACAAUCACCUAACUUUUUAUGUUUAUUUUUCAUAUAUUGUAAUAAUUCUAUAAAUCUUUUUUUUGUUUUUCUAUUUCAUAUGCCUUUUAAAAUAAUAUCAUGCAUAACUUCAAAUUGUCAAUAUUAUGUACGGUCACUUUUUUCAUCGAAACCCCUCCCAUUGAACAUAUCCCGAUAGCUUUUCCAGUGGGUAAAUGGGUUGUUUAAUCUAGGAUACAGUAGGUACUUAUGUGGGUUGGUUACAGUAGGUAAUGGGUUUUCUACAGUGGGUAUUUAUAGUGGGGUGUUAUGGUGGGUAUUCAUAGUUAUUUUCUAUAGUG
rnacentral:misc_RNA from 1 species